UACGGAGGAUGCAAGCGUUAUCCGGAUUUAUUGGGCGUAAAGCGUCCGCAGGUGGUUGUUCAAGUCUGCUGUUAAAGCGCGAGGCUUAACCUCGUACAGGCAGUGGAAACUGAGCGACUUGAGUAUGGUAGGGGUAGCGGGAAUUCCCAGUGUAGCGGUGAAAUGCGUAGAUAUUGGGAAGAACACCAGCGGCGAAAGCGCGCUACUGGGCCAUAACUGACACUCAUGGACGAAAGCUAGGGGAGCGAAAGGG
rnacentral:rRNA from 1 species